GCCUUCUGCUGCCACCCCUCAUAGAUACAUAAAGAUCUAAGCAUGACCACCACCAUGUUCUCCUCCAGCUGCUCCAAUUAUUCAAAUCUCUCUUCUCCUUCCUCCAUGUAUAUAUAACAUUGCCCAGCUCCCAAGAGAUCAUUCCUUCAAGUUUCCUUGAGCCACCAACAUGAAGAAACUUGUCGGUUUGAUGAUCCCAUGUCUUCUAAUACUUACACUCCUUGUUUCUUACAAUCUAUCUACUUGUACCUCUCCCUCCCAGUCCUCAGCAGUAGAAGGCCAAAAUCUCCGCAGGCUGAUAGGGAAGGAGCUCGUCUUCUCAGCAAGAAACACUGAGAUAACUCAAGGGAAAGAGAAACCUGAGAUCGAGAUCGAUCCGAUAGGCGUUCGGCACAAAGAUGAAGAGGAAGGUAUGGUUUACAAUGCGGAUUAUCGUGGAGUGACAACCCAUCCUUCUCCAUUACCCAAGCAUCCUAAACCAUAGCUUGCUCACGAGCCUUACAUAAACAUGUUUUGUUCAUCACACAAAUAUGAAAUAGUAUGUGCUUCACUGUUGGAAUAUGUUGCAACACGGAGGAAUCUUCAGGUCCAAAGAAGAUCCCUCGACCAUGCUAUCAGUAAGAUCACAAGUGCAAAUAUAGAUGUCAUCCAGUAGGAUUCCAGCACGCAGCACAGUCUCAGAAGCAUUUAACCAAACAACUUAAGCGCGCACACACGAGAAACCAUUUCUGAGACCAUUUAAGGCAGAGAAACCAACCAAACUUAAAAUGCGUGUUGGAGAUUAUACACAACAGUAAUCGGCACAAGAAGAAUCGAAGGGGAGAAAUGGUGCUGAAUGGAAUCAUGAAUAACCUGACUUGUUCACAUGAAAUUGGUGACGAAAAUAUAGAGAGAGAAAUUUCCAUAUCCACCAAAGAACAUGAUGAGAAAGAUAAGAAAAGAAACCUUAUUAGAUUAGCCUCAAAUCUUCAUUCAAACUUUAAUAUAUACCUUUAAAUAAAAAUAUGAUAUAUAUAUAUAUAUAUUAUAAUAUAAAAUUAUUUGAAUGAUAUUUUAGUCCAAAAACAAAAGCCCUCUUUGGAUCGCAUCUGACGAAUCGUAAUGGAUUUUCCUAUUUCCAUAAUUGCCCAUCGAAGUACCACGCAAUGGCAAGAGUCGUAUUGAAAUCGACUUGGGGUAGAAUUGUAAAUAAACGAUGCAUUGCACUUGAUGCCCCCCAACAAUCCUAUAUAUACCCUCGCGUCCUUUAGGGUUCCGAAUACAUCAUUUCUCCUGCCGCCUUCACGGUCUCGUUCUUGUUUCAGCUUCCUUUUGUUUCGCUCCAUCUGCUUUGAGACGACAGAAAACAAAGGUUCGCUCAUCGUAAGGGUCUCUCUUCUCUGCCGGCACUUCAAUCUCCGCUGAUCUUUGUCGAUCUCUUAGUUCUUCUUAUUUGUUUUCGAUCAUUUAUUUUCCGUUUUUGCUUGAGUUGGGGACGAUGUUGUGUUGCGAUGAUAAUAAAGCAAGAACCAAAUCGACAGCGUUUUCCGAUGGGAAAACGUUUCGUGGGACGGGAAUUUGUUCCUGAGCGGUUACAUGAGCAGCAAACGAACCCCCAUUGUUUCUGUUUCGUUCUUUUGUGGGUGUGUGUGUGUGUUUCUGUUUCGGGAAACGAUUUACGGUGGCGUGGUGGUUUUUGCUUUUCGAUGAACUUGUUUUCGCUGCUGGUGAUGGCACAGUAACACCUUCUUCUCGGUUGAUUAGAUGAUCUCCUUGGCUUUCUCUUCCUCUGUCAGUUUAGAAUGUGAAGAGACUGCAAGGAUUUGGAAUUCCAGACAUCUAUAAACACUUCUCCUUGGAUUUCUCUUCCUCUGUCAAUUUAGAAUGUGAAGAGACUGAAAGGAUUAGGAAUUCCGGACAUCUAUAAACACUUCUCAUUUUGGAUCUUUUUCUUGAUUGAUCCGGAUCACGAGAUUCGAUUGUUUUGAAUUUUGAAUGAAUGAUACUAGAUUUUUCUUAA